AUGGCGCACGCUAGCCUCGCAGCCCUGGGCGUGCUCGUGGUCCUACUACUGCAGGCGUCAACCGGCACCGUGGCCCGCUCGUCGUCGGCCGUGUCAGCGUCUAAGGUCUUUGGCAUGCCGGCGGUGAUGUCACUCAACGGGUUCGAGCGCGGCGAGGACGGCGGCCCGCCGGCGGAAUGCGACGGCAAGUACCACAGCGACGACGACAUGCUGGCGGCGCUGUCCACGGAGUGGUACCAGGGCGGGAUCCGGUGCUUCAGGACGAUCCGCAUCACGAGGGCGGACAACGGGCAGAGCGUGCUGGCCACGGUGGUGGACGAGUGCGACACCGCGCACGGCUGCAAGAACAACAUCGUGGACACCUCCAGAGCCGUGUGGGCGGCGCUCGGGCUCGACACCAACGUCGGCGAGGUGGCCGUCACAUGGUCAGACUCCUGA
rnacentral:rRNA from 1 species